ensembl:lncRNA
AGGCUCUGGGAGACAUCUUUGACAAUGUUCAUGGUUUAAGAGGCUGCCCUGGGAGGUGGUAGAGUUACUGCUUGUGGAGGUGUUCAAGAAAAGGAUUUUUGUCAGAGGAGUGAACACUCACUGCACUAUGCCUGCCUCGUGUGUGAACCUGCUGGUAGGGACUGAAAGGUUCACCAGGAAGGAGUUAAGCCCGCUUGCCUUGCCAAAAGUAACAAGUUCCAUCAGGCAGUUCUGGUGUUUUACAAGGCCAGCCCUGGAUCCUGCCCCAGGCUGUCUCCGAAGUGCAAAUGAUCUGAUCAACUGUAACACUGAAUAAUCAGAAAUUGUCAGGAAAAGCCCUUUAUCUGAUACUCCGGAGUUGCACCCUGUACACAUAUUCCUGUAAGAGAGAACACAGAUGUCUCUUUCACAGAGCAAAACAACAACAACAACAACAAAAAACAUUUUGGAGCACUGAUUAAUGGAUUCAUCCAGACCCCAGUGAGACCUGUGUUGAAAGCCUAGACCUUAAUAAUUUAAAAACUCCCAGUAGUGGUUGAUCCUCAUCAGGUAUUCCAAUUGUCUGCAAUUGUUGCAACUCAACAAUGAGGCUGUAUUUCAGUUAUAGCAGAUGAGGGAAGGGGAGGGUGUAGUCUUAAACCAGGAUACACUUGUACACCUUCUAACUCAGCCUAGAGGGAAAACAAGAUUUUUCCAGGAAAAAAAAAAAAUGUUUUAAAAUAAUUAGCUUCUGGGCUGAGAUAUUUCCAGCCUGCUGUGAAUUUUUGACAGUGCUACUGUUAGACUGCUGAAAACAAGGUUUCCCUGUGUGUCUUGCAGAAUUUAAACUAUGACAUGCAAGUAACUUUGCAGGAUACUAAUUAUGUAUCCAUAGCUAUAUAUAUGUGCACAUACGCAUACCCAGGAGUUGCAUCCUAUCUCUUGCAAGAAGUGAACCCCUUGUGCUAAGUGAAAGAAUGAACUACACUGCACUGCCUGGUUCUUUAUCAUUUAAUCUGCCUUAAAAAAAUGGAAUAGAAAGCAAUUAUUCUUAUUUUGAGUGUAUUGCUGAAUGAAAAAGGCACCUGAUGGAUCUAGAGCAUUACUUUUCAAUGACAUCUCAUUGUUUGACUCUGAGGCAUGUUUCCUGUCUAGACCUCACCCUACUGGCUUGCAAACUGAGACUAAUGAUGCCAGAUUCAUUUGCAAGCUACUUGGAAGCAGAGCAAGUGUAAGACCCAAUGCUUCUGAUUGAUGUAAAUAAAAUAAUCCUGUUUAACAACAACAACAAAAAGCUAAAUUCAGUUGUGUAGGACCCCUUGUGGUACACAUGGCACCCUGUACUAAAUCAAGAUGCACCUAGUGCUCAAACAUGGCAUCUCAAUGUGAAACUUGUCUACUGCCCUCUGCCAGAAGCUCUCUAUGGCCUGUAUGGAGUCAUAGUUGAGUCUUUCUCCUUCCUCCUGCUGGGAGAACAGCUUUAAUUCACUUGUCCACACACACCAGCUCAUGUGCAGUACCAGUCUGGCAGUGACACCAAGCAUCUCCAGCCUACCUGAGAGAGCUGAAAGGAGGAAAUAAUACUGUCCUGCCUGUG